rnacentral:lncRNA from 1 species
CCGGCAUGUCCACCACGAACACGUAGGAGUUCGGGUACUCCUUGACGUCUGCCGGCGUGGAGGCCAUGGCCUUGGCGUCACGGACGUAGGUCCGGGUGGGGGCGUUGGACUUCUCGGCGUCGUCGGCGGCGUCGAUGAUGUGCUGAAGUGUGGAGAAGAGUGGGGCAUCCAAACCUUGGAUUCUGAUAUCCAUUCUUCCCUUCUUGGUGGGUGGAAUUUUCGCUUUUCGGUUUCGAUUUGAAGGCUUUCGUGAAUUUUCGAGUGGGAAUCUGGUCGCUGUUACGGAGGGGGGUGGUGGUUAUGGGCAUUUAUAGGAGAAGGAGUUGAGGGAGUUGAGGGAGGACGGGGGUUAGCGGGGAGGGAAAAGGAAUGUUCUGGAGAAACGUGAAGGGAAGGGAGGAGGUUCCAGUAGGUUCCAUUUCUUCUUUGAGAGUCUAGAACAUUCUGGAAACGUUUACCAGGGGCAGGGCCUCUUUAGCCAUUUAUGAGAUAUUUUGUUGAGAAAGAGCCAAAAAGCUAAAAUAGAUAACAGUACUAAAUUAAAAGAUAAUCCCAAGAAUGCAAAAGAGAAAAAUGUGAAGAAGAUAAUCGGGAAGAGGAUCAUCUCCUGAGCUUAGGAUGGGGAUUCUCUUAACUAGCCUAUUUAAGCAGUUCAAAUCUAAUACAACAGCUUUAAACAGGGAGAUUCUCUAAAAAUUAUAAUUGCAACCGUUGGAUUCAAUUUGAACAGUCCAGAUGGGCUAGUCAGGUGGAUCUCCAUCCUGAGCUCAGAAGAGGAUCAUCUUCUAGAUAAUUGUGCACCUAAUUUUGUUAUGUGAAGAAACAAACGAAAAUUAAUUCGAUAAAUCGAUGGCUAGAGGUAUUCUUCCUUUUUGGUUUAAUAAUCUAUGGUACUUUUUAAAUUCAAACUACAUAAAUAAAUGUUUUUUUUUUUGGUUGAACAUAGAUAAUGAGUUAAAUGACGAGUUUGGUAAACACUCCAUAAAUAAUAUAACAAUGGUCAAUCUACUAGGGUGAACACUCCAUAAAUAAUGUAACAAUGGUCAAUCUAAUGGUGUUUUUGGUGACAAAUCGAGAAUAUAAUAAAUAUGAGCCACCAAAAGACAAGUAAAUUCCUAGUAGCACCACUCUUUAAAUUAUUAUAAUAAUUUCGAAUCUUCUCAUUUUUAAUUAAUAAUAAUAUUAAAAAAAAGUAAACUCUAAAAUAAGGUUAUCGAUUGGCACACAAAUAAGUUAUUAAAAACGAAAACUAACCAAAAGGGCCUGAAAACUUUAAGUUUUAACCAAAAACCAUGUUGUAAGUUUAUUUAAUGGUUAGGAUAAAGCCCAACACUAAAUCAAUCCAAAUAAAAUGGCCCAAACAAUGAGUGUCCGAUUUUGCCCCUGACGGCAAAGCAUUUCUCCGUUUAAUCUCUCUUCCUUUAUGGGUCUCUCUGCUCUGCUGUGGUCUGUCUCCCCCCCAUUUCUUCCUGACACAUCUAAAGAGAGAAAGAGAAGUGAAGGAAGUGAAAGAACAACACAUUUGAAUCCUUUUAUUUCCAAGUUCAAUUCCAAUUCCUCCAUUUUUCAAUCGAAUCGAUCGAAUCUCUCUCCCUCUCUCUCUCGAUCUCUCCACCCAAUAUGUAUUUUUGUUUUCAAUUCAAUUUGAGUUCCACAAUUUUUCAAAUCAAUCGAAUCGAUCGAAUCGGAUAAGCACGGGCGACCUUCUCAGCAUCGAUUCUCUGGAGCUCGAGUUCCCCUGUCAGUAUAACACGUUACCUUUCUCUUUCGAUCUGGUUUUUGUUUUCAAAAAUUUGCAUGUUGCUGUUUCAUUCCUGUUUUCAAUUUACGAUUUUGAAUCUUUGCAGUUGAAUUUCUUUUGCAUACAUCAUUAGUUCUCGAACGCUUGAGAUUUCUAUGAAUCCAAUGAUCUAUUUUGUUUUAAAUAUUGUUUACAUGAUCCUACUGCUGUUUUAUUUUUCUAUUUUGUUUUAAAUAUUGUUUAUAAUUGGUAAUGAGGAUGAGGAUUUGGUUUUCGUGGAUUUCAUGAGAAGUUAAAUUUUAGUUUCGAAAAUUUCGAAAUUGAUUAAAAAGAAAUUAACUUGGCAGCGGACUGAAUAUUCUGCUGUAAUGAUUUUUUGUCUCUAUUUUUCCAUAAAUUGUAGAUUUCAUUACAUUUUGUCAAUCUUGAUAUUGUUGACGGUAAUUGUGGUAAAAAUACUGAUUUUAUCGAUGUAUUUGUUGCUAAUCGCAUUGGGAUUUUUCGGUUGCAGCCGCGGUGGCAUGGGAAGCGGGGAAGCCACUGUCAAUUGAGGAAGUGGAGGUGGCCCCACCGCAGAAACAUGAAGUUCGCUUGAAGGUCCUCUUCACCUCUCUUUGCCACACCGAUGUCUACUUCUGGGAAGCCAAAGUAAAAACUUCAACUUUGAAUGCCAUUUUCUACUUUAAUAUCUGCGUAUCGAUAACUACAUCAUUAAGCAUGAUUCUUCAUAUGUUUAUAGUACUUAGUCCAUAACUUGCAAUUGAUUAGUGAAGUUAAGCAUGAUUUUGAGUGCUAAGUCUAAUGUGAUGAUAAAUCCUAUACAAGGCAUUUUCGUGCUUAGAAUGUCAGCUGUUGGAAUUGAAACAUAUAUGUUGUGUGCCAGGGACAACAACCGCUGUUUCCUCGCAUUUUUUGUCAUGAAGCUGGAGGGUAUGUACACAUCUCUGAAUAUUAAAGCUACAUAAUUUGUAAUUAACUUAGUAUUUGCUUCCAUUUUACGCGGUUUGUUUACUUUUCUAAAUUUUGUUUGCUUAACAUUUUGUGUUUAGAGUUGUGGAAAGCGUAGGCGAGGGCGUAACUGAACUCCAGCCGGGUGACCACGUCCUCCCUGUGUUCACUAGAGAGUGCAAGGAGUGCGCGCAAUGUAAGUCGAAGGAAAGCAACAUGUGUGAUCUGCUGAGGAUCAAUACUGAUAGGGGUACCAUGAUCAAUGAUGGCCAGUCCAGGUUCUCCAAGGAUGGAAAACCAAUUUAUCACUGUUUAGGUACUUCUACCUUCAGUGAAUACACUGUUUGUCAUGUUCGUUCCGUUGCUAAGAUCAACCCGGCUGCUCCCCUUGACAAAGUUUGUGUUCGUAGUUGCGGAAUAUGCACAGGUUCGAAAGACUUCUCCCAUUUUGACAGUGAAAAGUUGGAAUAAGAAAUUAGGGAUUUUCCAACUUUUCUUUCUGGAGUAAUCAAUUAUUGUUUCUGUUGGUGUAUUUGAAGGUUUUGGCGCCACUGUGAAUGUUGCAAAACCGAAAAAGGGUUCAUCUAUUGCCAUCUUUGGAUUGGGAGCUGUUAGUCUUGCUGUAAGUCAUUCUUAUUGCUCCUCUGUUAUGGCUCUUUUGGAUAGUUUGGAGUAGUGUAAGGAUUUUCUUGUUCAUCUUGUUCCAUUUUAGGCUGCUGAAGGUGCAAGGGUUUCGGGCUGUUCAAGGAUAUAGGAGGGAGGAUGGAUGGGAGGGUGAUUGUUCUUGUUUGCAGGGAGUCUCAGUGAAUUGCGUCACAAUUUAUACAUUAGGUUUAUCAAACUGAACUAUUUAUCAAACUAAACCACAUUUUUUUACCAAAGCAAAGUGAACUAUUUAUCAAAAUGAACUAUUUAUCAAAUUGAACUAGAAAACCACACUUUUUUACCAAAGCAAGCUGAACUAUUUAUCAAACUGAACUAGAAAAUCACACUUUUUUACCAAAGCAAACUGAACUAUUUAUCACACUAAACCACAUUUUUUUACCAAAGCAAACUGAACUAUUUAUCAAAGUGAACUAUUUAUCAAACCAAACCACAUUUUUUUACCAAAGCAAACUGAACUAUUUAUCAAACUGAACUAGAAAACCACAUUUUUUUACCAAAGCAAAUUGAACUAUUUAUUAAAUUAAACCACACUUUUUUACCAAAACAAAUUGAACUAUUUAUCAAAGUGAACUAUUUAUCAAACCAAACCACAUUUUUUUACCAAAGCAAACUGAAUUAUUUAUCAAACUAAACCACACUUUUUUACCAAAGCAAACUGAACUAUUUAUCAAACUGAACUAGAAAAACAUAUUUUUUUACCAUAGCAAACUAAACUAUUUAUUAAACUAAACCACAUUUUUUUACCAAAGCAAACUGAACUAUUGAUCAUCUCCAGGACCAUUGUUUUAUCAAUCAAUAGUCAAGACCGUACUGGCAAAUCUUUAAACCCACCAACUAAAAAUGAAAUUGAAAUAAUUUUCAAUGAAAGGGUUCCUACAGAAAACAUUUAUACAGGUUCUAAGCGGUAAACAAAAUUAAGGUGGAGAUUGGUAAUUUGAACAACCUAAUUCAAAUAAGUAAAAAAAAAAAAAUAUAUAUAUAUAUAUAUAUAUAUAUAUAUAAAUAAAAGAAAGUGGGAAUCGAUGGGUUUCUCAAGCCUAUGAAAAAGACGUCCCUUCCGACUUCCAGGAGCAAGGGGGAGGGCAAGAAGAAAACAAGAAAAAUAAAAAGGAGAAACCAACGGCAAAUUCAAAAAAAAAAGAGAGAGAGAAACUGGCUAACAAAAUGGCAUUCAAAUUCUAAACGGUUUGGCUAACGGAAGUGGUGUUCCGUCAAGGGCAAGGAUUGGAAAAAAAAAUUGUUUUGCACGCUGGGCUUACUUCCAGCCCGUGUGCUCUUUAGUUAGUCUUUUAUUUCUUAUAGUUUGUGUCCUUUUUCAUUAAAAUUCAUGUCCUUUUUAUUAAAUAAAGUUAUUAUGUGGUUUUUGGUUAAAUUAAAGUUAGUCAAAACCUUUUUCAUUAAAGCUCCCUUAUUAAAAAGGCUGGUUUAUAUUUAAAUUGGAAGAUUACAAUAUAUAUCUGAAGUCAAGACGGCACCCAGCUUCCUUUCCUUCUUAUUCCUUUUAUGAAAGACCAAAAUGAAAAACAGAAACAAAGUAUACGAAUUUACAGCAGACACAGAAAACCAAAUAACACGAUGCAUAUAUACUUCAUCUACAUAUAUAUACCGCCACCGCCACUGCCACUCAGUAGUAUCCUCACGUACACUGAUCAUGCACUGCCAUCAAAGCAAGCCGACCUCUGCCUGCUCGUCAAGCUCUUCAACUUUGCCCUUCAUACCCACCGGCACCACGUUCCCCACCGCCUUGUCCACCUUGCCUGCCAGGUUGCCCACCUUGCCCACCGCCUUGCCAACCACAUUCCUCUUGGCCACCUUCUUCCCAGCCUUGACCACCUUUGCCUCCCUGGCCACCGCCUUCCCUACCACGUUCCUCUUGGCCACCUUCUUCGGAUUAUUUCAGAGAUAAAAAUUGAUGCAUACCACUUUUGCCAGUUCCGGAAGUGGAGAGAGCUGUUUACAGCACAUGCUUUGUCAACUAGUGGUGGAUCUAGGAAAUAAUAUUAGAGGGUCAGUAAGAAUAGAAUACGUAGCACAUAAUUUUUUUUUUACCAGAAAUAGUAUAAAAAAAGUCGUACCCAGUGCACAAGGCUCCCGCUUUACGCAGGGUCUGGAAGAGGUGAAUGUCGGUUAACCUUACGCCCAUUUUAUGGAGAGGCUGCUCCCAAGUCUCGAACCCGAGACCUACCGCUCAUGAACCAGAAAUAGUAUGCAUAUCAUUAUUUAAUCGAGUCUUGGUAAACCUGAAGUCAUUUGGAAAAACAUAUUGCAAACCUAUUAAUGCCCCAUUUACGUGAGUAACUAACAUGUUCCAAAGCUACUUCCAUAUGAAUGCUUAACAAAAAAACAAACUUAUCUUGAACGCACUAAAAAUGUUUGAUAUCAUUGCAUCUCAUUAAUAUGGUUGUCCAAGAAUGAUAAUGUUUUGUUAUUUAUUGAGAUCACCAUUUCAUUCACUCUUCAUUCACAUUCUAUCAAACAAUUGGAAGACAUGGAUGGAACCAACUCUAAUCUUAAAAAUAGCAACAUCAAGGUAUCCAUGAAUAUACACUAAAGCUCGGAAGAUCGACACUCAAAGUAUCCAUAAACGUUCACCGAAGUUCGAAGGGUUAGCUGACCCCCUACCCCUCAAUGCAUCCGCCACUACUGUCAACCAAGUCGGAAACGAAGAUGUCAUUAAAUCUGUGCCACCACUUGCUGCAUCCAAUGGUUUCCAACUAGAAACUCCCUUCCCGGAAUGGCACCGCCGUGGUGUCCUCAGUGUCAGUGGCAUCCUUAAAUCUUGACAAAAAUGUUGAGAUAUUGGUAUCUCAACAUUGCUCUGUUUUCUAGGUCCGGCGACCAAUCAGAGGCGCCUAACGGAACCGGCAUAGGCUCGAACAGAACCUCAAAGAGGCAGAGAAAUUAUGCAGUACCUCAUCUCAAUCUGUUUAAACUUUAAAAUGCUGACACACGGAACAAAGUAUAUAUGGUGUAAUUCCAAACACACUCAUAUUACGAACUCUGUUUGAUUACGUUCGUAAAAUGCUCGGUUAUUCGAGUUAUUUGUUCCGUUGAUUCGCGUUUUUGAAGCCAAUUUUAUGAUAACAUAAACAAAAAUGGAAAUAAAACACAUAAUAUGCUUCAUUGAUCUGAAAAACCAACAAGCUUAUAAUACCACAACACAAACAUAACAAACACAUCCAGAAUACACCAACGAAGCCCUAAAAUCCACACACAAACCCUUAUGUUAUAAUCCCUGCACGAUUAUUCUCAUAACCCAAAUCACAGAAACAGUUUCAAGCAAUCUUGACCUCGAUUGUCUUCGGCUUCUUCGGCUCCGGCGGCGGCAGCUUCUGCACUGUGACAGUCAAAACCCCAUCCUGGCAAACAGCAGAAAUCGCAUCCACAUUAGCAUUCUCCGGCAACACAAACUUCCUCAUGAACUUGCCGACCCUCCGCUCCAUCCUCACGUACUUAGCCCCUUCCUUCUCCUCCUCCCGCUUCCUCUCGCCGCUGAUCAGAAGCACAUUGUCGUCCUCCACCUGGACCUUGAUGUCCCCGGACUUCAGUCCCGGCAUGUCCACCACGAACACGUAGGAGGUCGGGUACUCCUUGACGUCUGCCGGCGUGGAGGCCAUGGCCUUGGCGUCGCGGAAGUAGGUCCGGGUGGGGGCGUUGAAGGAUUUCUCGGCGUCGUCGGCGGCGUCGAUGAUGUGCUGAAGUGUGGAGAAGAGCGGGGCAUCCAAACCCUGGAUUCUGACAUCCAUUCUUCCCUUCUUGGUGGGUGGAAUUUUUGCUUUUCGGUUUUGAUUUGAAGGCUUUUGUGAGUUUUCGAGUGGGAAUCUCGUCGCUGUUACGGAGGGGAGUAGUGGUUGUGGGUAUUUAUAGGAGGAGUUGAGGGAGGACGGGGGUUAGCGGGGAGGGAAAAUGAAUGUUCUGGAGAAACGUGGAAGGAAGGGAGGAGGUUCCAGUAGGUCCCAUUUCUUCUGUGAGCGUCUAGAACAUUCUGGAAGCGUUUACUAGGUAGGGGCAGGGCCCCUAUAGCCAUUUAUGAGAUAUUUUGUUGGGAAAGAACCAAAAAGCUAAAAUAGAUAACAGUACUAAAUUAAAAGAUAAUCACCAAAAAGCAAAAGAGAAAAAUGUGACGAAGAUAAUCGUGCACUUAAUUUUGUUAUGUGAAGAAACAAACGAAAAUUAAUUCGAUAAAUCGACGGCUAGAGGUAUUCUCCCUGUUUGGUUCAAUCAUUUAGGGCACUUUUCAAAUUACAUAGAUAAUGAGUUAAAUGACUAGUUUGAUUAACAUUUCAUAAAUAAUAUAACAAUGGUCAAUCUACUGGGACGAACACUUCAUAAAUAAUGUAACAAUGGUCAAUCUAAUGAUAUUCUUGGUGACGAAUUGAGAAUAUAUUAAAUAUGAGCCACCAAAAGACAAGUAAAUUCCUAGUAGCACCACUUUUUAAAUUAUUAAAUAAUAUUAUUAUUAGAAAAAAAAGUAAACUCUAAAAUAAGGUUAUCAAUUGGUACACAAAUAAGAGCUCGUUUUGAUGUGCUUUUAAAAUAAUUGAAAAUACUUUUAAAGAAAAUAUUUGUAGGUUCCAAAAGCACUUAAGUGUUUUCUACAAAAAUAACCAUUUAUGUGCUUCUUUCAAGAAGCACUUUAUGUGCUUUUCUAAGAUUUACUACUAUUUUUACUAAGGAUUGUUUCCAAAAAUAUUUUCACUAAAAGCGCUUUCAGUCAUUUUAAAAACAUAUCCAAACGAAUCCCAAGUUAUUAAAAAUGCUGGUUUUAUAUCCAAAUUGGAAGAUUACAAUAUAUAUCUGAAGUCAAGACGGCACCCACCUUCCUUUCCUUCUUUUUCUUUUUAUAUGAAAGACCAAAAUGAAAAACAGAAACAAAGCAUACAAAUUUACAGCAAACACAGAAAACCAAAUAGGCCAACAACAACAACAACAACAACAAAGCCUUUUCCCACUAAGUGGGGUCGGCUAUAUGAAUCCUAGAACGCCAUUGCGCUCGGUUUUGUGUCAUGUCCUCCGUUAGAUCCAAGUACUCUAAGUCUUUUCUUAGAGUCUCUUCCAAAGUUUUCCUAGGUCUUCCUCUAUCCCUUCGGCCCUGAACAUCUGUCCCGUAGUCACAUCUUCGAACCGGAGCGUCAGUCGGCCUUCUUUGCACAUGUCCAAAUCACCGGAGCCGAUUUUCUCUCAUCUUUCCUACAAUUUCGGCUACUCCUACUUUACCUCGGAUAUCCUCAUUCCCAAUCUUAUCCUUUCUCGUGUGCCCACACAUCCCACAAAGCAUCCUUAUCUCCGCUACACCCAUUUUGUGUACGUGUUGAUGUUUCACCGCCCAACAUUCUGUGCCAUACAACAUCGCUGGCCUUAUUGCUGUCCUAUAAAAUUUUCCCUUGAGCUUCAGUGGCCUACGACAGUCACACAACACGCCGGAUGCACUCUUACACUUCAUCCAUCCAGCUCGUAUUCUAUGGUUGAGAUCUCCAUCUAAUUCUCCGUUCUCUUGCAAGAUAGAUCCUAGGUAGCGAAAACGGUCGCUUUUUGUGAUCUUCGCUAGAUUGCUCCGGUCAUUAGUGUGGAUAAGUAUAUAAAUGGAUAGAGAUAGGAAAGCAAACACAAGAUGUACGUGCUUCACCCAGAUUGGCUACGUCCACGUAAUAGAAGAGUUCUCAUUAAUUGUGAAGGGUUUACACAAGUACAUAGGUUCAAACUCUCCUUUAGUGAGUACAAGUGAAUGAUUUAGUACAAAUGACAUUAGGAAAUAUUGUGGGAGAAUGAUCUCGUAAUCACGAAACUUCUAAGUAUCGGAGUGUGGUGUCGUCUUGACUUGCCUUAUCUGUCUCAUAGGUAGAUGUGGCAUCUUCUCUGGAAGUACUCUUCCUCCAUCCAGGGGUGGUAUCUUUAACUGGUGGAGAUGCACAAGGUAAUGUAUCAAUUUCACUUGAAGCUUACUUGUAGUUUCAGGCUUGGUCAAGCGCGAUACAAACCAUGUAGUAGGAGUCCCCCAAGUCGCCGAGCUAGGGGGUCUGCUGAAAGAGGUGACAGACAAGGUAAGCAAUCAGAGCUCCGACUAAUUGUUCACCUUCUCCCCAUCUUGCAGCCGCAUGAAGGAUAAAGAGAAGAAAAAUGAGAAGAGAUGAUAUGAGAUACUUUUGCUUUUGAAGAAGUAACUUUCCACAGGCUUAUUCUUAAACUGAGCUGGAGGGUUUUCUGGUUUCCUCCAGAGUAUAAGGCCGACUGAAGAAUUUGAGGGUCAAAACAAGUCCAUCAAAUCUAGAGUACGUUCCACCCUGCUGAUAUGGGAUACUUUUGCUUUUGACAGAGUAAUGGAUGUAUCGGCACGUGUGCUGUUACACUUGUCUCCACAUGCUUCCUUGUAUCCUUCGCACUUGCCCUAUCUGUUCCUCAAGCAGAUGCGGAAUCUUCCCUGGAAACAUAAGAUGUUGAAGAUGAGUACUCGAGAGCAAUACCAGGUAAGUAAUCAGGUAAGGGGUUCCAGGCAGUCAGUUCCUGGCUGGAAGCUUGAUUCCAAGUGCUGACUGAUUGCUCUCUUUCUCCUUGUCUUGCAGGUAAAAACAAGGCCAAAGGAAAAGACAGGGAAAAAGCAUGAUAUGGGAUACUCUUGCUUUUAAUCCUGAUGAUAUGAGAUAUUCUUGCUCUAGUAUAGCUUGUUUACAGAGGUAUUAUCGGGGGGAAAGAAAGCUGAAUAUUUCGAAAGGCUUCGUUGGGAGUGCCCUCUCAGAUAUGAUGAAGGGUUGAGCAUUUUUGCAGGUCUGCCUGUCCGUUGGGGAUGGAGGUCGACAUAUAUAGGAGUCUCCCUAACAACAAGUAGUAAUGCUAUUCAUUUACCCUGCUUGGUCAUAGCACGGUAGUGGGAGCUGCCAGUUUCACAUGUUUUAACUCUGUCAGAGCACUUUGAAAAAGUGGUCUGUGGUAUCUGGCUCUCGAGAUUCGGAGAACGAUGCCUCUUCGAUUUUUGAGAAAGCAAUUAUGCUGGGGGUCUAGCUCUCGAGAUUCGGAGAGCAGUGUCUCUUCGAUUUUUGAGGAAGUAAUCAUGUUAGGAGUCUGGCUCUCGAGAUUCGGAGGGCGGUGCCUCUUCGAUUUUGGAGCAAGCAAUCAUGUUGGGAGUGUUGUCUCGAAUGUGAGUAAAGGUUGGGCAUGUUUGCUAGUCUACCUUGCCCCGAAGCACAAAGGUUGACACACAGGGACUUUCCAAUUAUCUAGCAAUGGUACUGUUCCUUUACCCUCUCUUCGCUUUUGAGAAAGUAGUCAUGUUGGGAGUCUGGCUCUCGAGAUUCGGAGGACGGUGCCUCUUCGAUUUUGGAGCAUGCAAUCUUGUUGGGAGUGUUUUCUCGAAUGUGAGUAAAGGUUGGGCAUGUUUGCGAGUCUACCUUGCCACGAAGCACAGAUGUUGACACACAGGAACUUUCCAAUUAUCCAGCAAUGGUACUGUUCCUUUACCCUUGUGGGUAAUAAUAUGGUAGCUAGACCUUCAAAAUUUAUGUGUCUAAACUUUGUUAGUGCUGUUUCUUUGCUAUUCUUUUACCUUUCUUGGUCAGAGCGAUGUAGUGGGAGCUGCAAGCUUCACGUGCUCAACUUUGGCAGAGAACUUUGGCAAAGUUAUCUGUGGUACCCAUGAGCUAUUGUUGCGUGUGGGAAGUGGGUGAUUGAACAGUAAGAUUCAUGUGCUUUCUACUUCACCAGAAGUCUUCGACAGAAUGCCCAUAAUUUCUGCAAAGCUGAGUGUGCGUGUGACAGGUGCUGACAAGGCUAGAAUAGUAGGUGCCUCUUCGAUUUCUGAGAUCGGCCCUCGUGGUAUCUGAGCAGCCCAGCUUUUGAGAAAGCGAGCGCCUCUUCGAUUGAUUCGGAGAACGAUGCCUCAUCGAUUUUUGAGAAAGCAAUCAUGCUGGGGGUCUGGCUCUCGAAGAUUCGGGGAGCAGUGUCUCUCCGAUUUUUGAGAAAGUAAUCAUGUUGGGAGUCUGGCUCUCGAGAUUCGGAGGGCGGUGCCUCUUCGAUUUUGGAGCAAGCAAUCUUGUUGGGAGUGUUUUCUCGAAUGUGAGUAAAGGUUGGGCAUGUUUGCUAGUCUACCUUGCUACGAAGCACAGAGGUUGACACACAGGGACUUUCCAAUUAUCCAGCAAUGGUACUGUUCCUUUACCCUCUCUUCGAUUUUUAAGAAAGUAGUCAUGUUGGGAGUCUGGCUCUCGAGAUUCGGAGGACGGUGCCUCUUCGAUUUUGGAGCAAGCAAUCUUAUUGGGAGUGUUUUCUCGAAUGUGAGUAAAGGUUGGGCAUGUUUGCUAGUCUACCUUGCCACGAAGCACAGAGGUUGACACACAGGGACUUUCCAAUUAUCCAGCAGUGGUACUGUUCCUUUACCCUUGUGGGUAAUAAUAUGGUAGCUAGACCUUCAAAAUUUAUGGGUCUAAACUUUGUUAGUGCUGUUUCUUUGCUAUUCUUUUACCCUUCUUGGUCAGAGCGAUGUAGUGGGAGCUGCAAGCUUCACGUGCUCAACUUUGGCAGAGAACUUUGGCAAAGUUAUCUGUGGUACCCAUGAGCUAUUGUUGCGUGUGGGAAGUGGGUGAUUGAACAGUAAGAUUCAUGUGCUUUCUACUUCACCAGAAGUCUUCGACAGAAUGCCCAUAAUUUACACAAAGCUGAGUGUGCGUGUGACAGGUGCUGACAAGGCUGGAAAAGUAGGUGCCUCUUCGAUUUCUGAGAUCGGCCCUCGUGGUCUCUAGGGAGCCCAGCUUUUGAGAAAGCGAGCGCCUCUUCGAUUUCUGAGAUCGACCUUCAUGGUCUUUGAGCAGCCCAACUUUUGAGAAAGCAAACGCCUCUUCGAUUUCUGAGAUCAACCCUCGUGAUCUCUAAGCAGCCCAGCUUUUGAGAAAGCAAACGCCUCUUCGAUUUCUGAGUAGGCGCCUCUUCGAUUUCUGAAGCUCCGUCGAGUGCAGAUUUUUAUAGGGGCUGGCAUUAAGUUCCAAAGCACACUUGAAUCUCCACCAGUAGAAGCUUCAUUCUUGCACUUCUAAGAUCUUGAUUUGUCCGACCUCUUCUCUCUUCAACACCUUUGAAAAUGUCUGGCCCCUCCGACCGUCGUUUUGACUUGAACCUUGUUGAAGAGGCAGCCCCGCCUUCUCCAGACAACAUAUGGCGUUCAUCCUUCGUCUCCCCUACUGGUCCUCUUACCGUUGGGGAUUCCAUGAUGAAGAAUGAUAUGACCGCUGCGGUGGUGGCCAGGAACCUUCUCACUCCCAAAGAUAACAGACUACUUUCCAAACGGUCUGAUGAGUUAGCUGUUAAGGAUUCGCUGGCUCUCAGUGUUCAGUGUGCAGGUUCUGUGUCUAAUAUGGCCCAACGCCUAUUUGCUCGAACCCGCCAAGUUGAAUCAUUGGCGGCUGAAGUGAUGAGUCUCAAACAGGAGAUUAGAGGGCUCAAGCAUGAGAAUAAACAGUUGCACCGGCUCGCACAUGACUAUGCUACAAACAUGAAGAGGAAGCUUGACCAGAUGAAGGAAACUGAUGGUCAGGUUUUACUUGAUCAUCAGAGAUUUGUGGGUUUGUUCCAAAGGCAUUUAUUGCCUUCGUCUUCUGGGGCGGUACCGCGUAAUGAAGCUCCGAAUGAUCAACCUCUGAUGCCUCAUCCUUCUAGGGUUCUGUCCAGUACUGAGACUCCAAAUGAUCCCCCUCCGGUGCCUUCUCUUUCUGGGGCUCUACCGACUGCUGAGACUUCUCCUAAGCAACCUUUGUGAAGGCUCCCUCUUGUGUGUUUAUUUUGACUCAUGUAUAUGUACAUAUUUGUAGCUUAUCGGGGAUAUCAAUAAAUAAGCUUUCCUUCAUUUCAACGUAUUGUGUUAAAUACACCAAAGCCUUCUUCGCUAAGUUCUUUGAAUUUUCUUUUGUUGAAGCUUGUAUGUUGAAGCUUUCUGGGUGGAGCAUGUAGGUUGGGGUAGUGUUCCCUUAAUUUCCCGAGUGAGGAAAACUUCUCGGUUGGAGACUUGGAAAAUCCAAGUCACUGAGUGGGAUCGGCUAUAUGAAUCUUAGAACGCCAUUGUGCUCGAUCCUGAGUCAUGUCCUUCGUUAGAUCCAAGUACUCUAAGUCUUUUCUUAGAGUCUCUUCCAAAGUUUUCCUAGGUCUUCCUCUACCCCUUCGGCCCUGAACCUCUGUCCCAUAGUCGCAUCUUCUAAUCGGAGCGUCAGUAGGCCUUCUUUGCACAUGUCCAAACCACCGUAACCGAUUUUCUCUCAUCUUUCCUUCAAUUUCGGCUACUCCUACUUUACCCCGGAUAUCCUCAUUCCUAAUCUUAUCCUUUCUCGUGUGCCCACACAUCCAACGAAGCAUCCUCAUCUCCGCUACACCCAUUUUGUGUACGUGUUGAUGUUUCACCGCCCAACAUUCUGUGCCAUACAGCAUCGCCGGCCUUAUUGCCGUCCUAUAAAAUUUUCCCUUGAGCUUCAGUGGCAUACGGCGGUCACACAACACGCCGGAUGCACUCUUCCACUUCAUUCAUCCAGCUUGUAUUCUGUGGUUGAGAUCUCCAUCUAAUUCUUCGUUCUUUUGCAAGAUAGAUCCUAGGUAAUGAAAACGGUCGCUCUUUGGUAUUUCUUGAUCUCCGAUCCUCACCCCUAACUCGUUUUGGCCUCCAUUUGCACUGAACUUGCACUCCAUAUAUUCUGUCUUUGAUCGGCUUAGGCGAAGACCUUUAGAUUCCAACACUUCUCUCCAAAGGUUAAGCUUUGCAUUUACCCCUUCUUGAGUUUCAUCUAUCAACACUAUAUCGUCUGCGAAAAGCAUACACAAAGGAAUAUCAUCUUGAAUAUGUCCUGUUAACUCAUCCAUUACCAACGCAAAAAGGUAAGGACUUAAGGAUGAGCCUUGAUGUAAUCCUACAGUUAUAGGAAAGCUUUCGGUUUGUCCUUCAUGAGUUCUUAUGGCAGUCUUUGCUCCUUCAUACAUAUCCUUUAUAGCUUGGAUAUAUGCUACUCGUACUCAUUUCUUCUCUAAAAUCCUCCAAAGAAUGUCUCUUGGGACCCUAUCAUACGCUUUUUCCAAAUCUAUAAAGACCAUGUGUAAAUCCUUUUUCCCAUCUCUAUAUCUUUCCAUCAAUCUUCGUAAGAGAUAGAUUGCCUCCAUGGUUGAGCGCCCUGGCAUGAACCCGAAUUAGUUGUCCGAAACCCGUGUCUCUUGCCUCAAUCUAUGCUCAAUGACUCUCUCCCAGAGCUUCAUUGUAUGACUCAUUAGCUUAAUACCCCUAUAGUUCAUGCAAUUUUGUACGUCACCCUUAUUCUUGUAGAUAGGCACCAAAGUGCUCGUUCGCCACUCAUUUGGCAUCUUCUUCGUUUUCAAAAUCCUAUUGAAAAGGUCAGUGAGCCAUGUUAUACCUGUCUCUCCCAAAAGUUUCCACACUUCGAUUGGUAUAUUGUCUGGGCCUAUUGCUUUUUUAUGCUUCAUCUUCUUCAAAGCUACAACCACUUCUUCCUUCCGGAUUCGACGAUAAAAAGAGUAGUUUCUACACUCUUCUGAGUUACUCAACUCCCCUAAAGAAGCACUCAUUUCAUGUCCUUCAUUGAAAAGAUUAUGAAAAUAACCUCUCCAUCUGUCUUUAACCGCGUUCUCUGUAGCAAGAACCUUUCCAUCCUCAUCCUUGAUGCACCUCACUUGGUUUAGGUCCCUUGUCUUCUUUUCCCUUGCUCUAGCUAGUUUAUAGAUAUCCAACUCUCCUUCUUUGGUAUCUAGUCGUUUAUACAUAUCGUCGUAAGCCGCUAACUUAGCUUCUCUGACAGCUUUCUUCGCCUCUUGCUUCGCUUUUCUAUACCUUUCACCAUUUUCAUCGGUCCUCUCCUUGUAUAAGGCUUUACAACAUUCCUUCUUAGCCUUCACCUUUGUUUGUACCUCCUCAUUCCACCACCAAGAUUCCUUUUGGUGUGGGGCAAAGCCUUUGGACUCUCCUAAUACCUCUUUUGCUACUUUUCGGAUACAACUAGCCAUGGAAUCCCACAUUUGGCUAGCUUCCCCCUCUCUAUCCCACACACAUUGGGUGAUUACCUUCUCUUUGAAAAAUGACUUGUUUUUCUUCUUUUAGAUUCCACCAUCUAGUCCUUGGGCACUUCCAAGUCUUGUUCUUUUGUCUUACUCUUUUGAUAUGUACAUCCAUCACCAACAAGCGAUGUUGAUUAGCCACGCUCUCUCCUGGUAUAACUUUGCAAUCCUUACAAGUUAUACGAUCCCCUUUCCUCAUUAGAAGAAAAUCUAUUUGUGUUUUUUUACGACCCACUCUUGUAGGUGAUCACAUGUUCUUCUCUCUUCUUAAAGAAGGUGUUGGCUAAGAAGAGAUCAUAUGCCAUUGCAAAAUCCAAGAUAGCUUCCCCAUCCUCGUUUCUCUCCCCAAAAUCAUGGCCACCAUGAAAACCUCCAUAGUUGCCUGUCUCCCUGCCCACGUGUCCAUUUAAAUCUCCUCCUAUAAAUAACUUCUCCGUCUGAGCAAUUCCUUGCACCAAGUCUCCAAGAUCUUCCCAAAAUUUCUCCUUCGAACUCGUAUCCAACCCUACUUGAGGUGCGUACGCACUAAUCACAUUGAUAAGUUCUUGUCCUAUUACAAUCUUGAUUGCCAUGAUUCUAUCUCCUACCCUCUUGACAUCUACAACAUCUUGUACCAAGGUCUUGUCCACGAUGAUGCCAACACCAUUUCUCGUUCUAUUUGUGCCCGAAUACCAAAGUUUAAACCCUGAGUUUUCUAGAUCCUUUGCCUUACUACCAACCCACUUAGUUUCUUGUAGGCACAUAAUAUUUAUCCUUCUCCUCACCAUAACUUCCACUACUUCCAUAGAUUUUCCCGUUAAGGUUCCUAUAUUCCACGUUCCUAAACGCAUUUUGCUCUCUUGAACUCUACACUUCUGUCCUAGCUUCUUCACCCUCCCCCGUCUAAUAGGAUCAAAGUACUUCUUUUGUGUGUCCCGGGUAAAGUUGAUAGGAGCAUAUGCUCCCAAACAACUUUGAGUGGAGUCGUUCGAAAAGAAGUUUCUAUGGCCCCCUUGCUCAUUUAACACUGCAUCCGGGUGCCGAUGGAGAUACAGCGACCCUUGCUCGCUUAUCACUGUGCUCGGGCCACACAGCGCGCCACUUACGGGUGACGCCCUAGCUUUAACGCGAUUUUGUUCUGGAUUCAUUUUCAUAAGGAUUCGACGUGAUCAUGGAGUGCCGGCUGUCGACUACCUGACGCCCUCCCCUCUCUCCUUUAUCCGGGCUUGGGACCGGCCAUGUAAGACAUAGGCGGAGUUGAAAACCAAAAUAGGCCAAAUUGAAUUAUUCAUCCUUGUGGUCAUAGGAAACUUGCAUGAUGACCCCGUGAUGAAAAAAUUAGGAAUUAAACCCCUGUGGUCAAGAAUGUUAGAAAAUUUAGUCCAAAAGUAAGAUUUCUGUUAAAUGACUGUUAAAAGUAUGGGUAAAACUGUAUUUUCAGUUCCAAUUGACAUUUAAAAUAAAUAAAUAUUUUUUAUAACAAUUAACAAAAAAAAUAAUGCUUAAUUUUUUAAAUAAAAAAAAGCCCCAAUUCAAUGUCAAUUGAAACUGAAAAUACAGUUUUACUCCAACUUUUAAGUUUUAACAGUCCUUUAACAGAAAUCUUACUUUUGGACUAGAUUUGCUAACAUUUUAGACCAUCGGGAUUUAAUUCCUAGUUUUUUCACCAUAGGGGUCAUCAUGCAAGUGUCCUAUGACCAUGGGAUGAACAAUUCAAUUUGGCCAACCAAAUAACACGAUGCAUAUAUACUUCAUCGACAAAUAUAUAUAUACCGCCACCGCUACUCAGUAGUAUCCUCAUGUACACUGAUCAUGCACUGCCAUCAGAGCAAGCCGAUCUCUGCCUGCUUGUCAAGCCCUUCAACUUUGCCAUUCAUACCCACCGGCACCACGUUCCCCACCGCCCUGUCCACCUUGCCAACCACAUUCCUCUUGGCCACCUUCUUCCCAGCCUUGACCACCUUUGCCUCCCUAGCCACCGCCUUCCCUACCACGUUCCUCUUGGCCACCUUCUUCGGAUUAUACUCGGAUUAUUUCAACAAUAUAAAUUAAUGCAUACUGCUUUUGCCAGUUCCGGAAGUGGAGAGAGCUGUUUACAGCACAUGCUCUGUUGAAGGAUCCAGAAAAUAAUAUUAGGAGGAUCAGUAAGAAUAAUACGCAAUAUUUUUUACCAAAAAUAGCAUGCAUAUCGCUAUUUCAUCGAGUCUUAGGUCGUCUAAGAUCAUUUAGAAAUGAAUGCCCCCUCAUUUACGAGAGUAACUAACAUCUUCUAAGACUGCUCCCAUAUAAAUGCUUAACAAAAAAACACACUAACAAUGUUUGAUACCAUUACAUCCCAUUAAUAUAUUUAUCUAAGAAUAAUGAUGUUUUGUUAUUCACUGAGAUGAUCAUUUCAUUCACUCUUCUUUCAGACAUUUUAUCAAAUAGUUAGAGAGCAUGAAUGAAGCCAACUUUAAUCUUCAAAAAGGCACACUGAAAUUCGAAGCAUCAGCACCUAAGAUGUACCCAUGAACGUUCAUCGAAGUUGGAGAGGUCAGCUGACCCCUGUGCAUCCGCCACUGCUGUGAACUAAGUCGGAAACGAAGAUGUCAUUAAAUCUGUGCCACCACUUGCCGCAUCCAAUGGUUUCCAACUAGAAACUCCCUUCCCGGAAUGGCACGGCCGUGGUGUCCCCAGUGUCGAGGGCGGUAAGUGGCAUGCUUAAAUCUUGACAAAAUGUUGAGAUAUUGGUAUCUCAACAUUGCUCUGUUUUCUAGGUCCGGCGAUGAAUCAGAAGCGCCUAACGGAACCGGCAUAGGCUCAAACAGAACCUCGAAGAGGCUGAGGAAUUACGCAGUGCCUCAUCCCAAUCUGUUUAAAAUGCUAACACACGGAACAACGUAUAUGGCGUAAUUCCAAACACACAUAUUACGAACUUUGUUUGAUUACGUUCGUAAAAUGCUCGGUUAUUCGAGUUAUUUGUUCCGUUGAUUCGCGUUUUUGAAGCCAAUUUUAUGAUAACAUAAACAAAAAUGGAAAUAAAACACAUAAUAUGCUUCAUUGAUCUGAAAAACCAACAAGCUUAUAAUACCACAACACAAACAUAACAAACACAUCCAGAAAACACCAACGAAGCCCUAAAAUCCACACACAAACCCUUAUGUUUUAUAAUCCCUGCACGAUUAUUCUCAUAACCCAAAUCACAGAAACAGUUUCAAGCAAUCUUGACCUCGAUUGUCUUCGGCUUCUUCGGCUCCGGCGGCGGCAGCUUCUGCACCGUGACAGUCAAAACCCCAUCCUGGCAAACAGCAGAAAUCGCAUCCACGUUCGCGUUCUCCGGCAACACAAACUUCCUCAUGAACUUGCCGACCCUCCGCUCCAUCCUCACGUACUUAGCCCCUUCUCUCUACAGAAGCAUCAAACUAAUGUAGUUUAGAUGUCCAUAUCUUCUAUGCCACAACUGAGAUGACUCUUCAACAGUUGCUCUAUUAGCCAUGUGAGGAUUAACAUAUUCCAAACUUAAUGGAAAGCAUCUGUUUCCUUUCAUUGGAACACUUGCAAUCAGAUCUUCCAUCUGUCUAUCUCCAUAAAUAUCAACCAUGUAAUCACCAAAACACAAGCCAAUGUCCAUGUUCUACCAUCUGCCUUACACUCAAUAAGUUUUUCAUCCAAUCUAGGUACAAUCAUAACUUCUUUAAUAUACCUAGUCACACCUUUCAUCUCAAUCACCAAUGUGCCUUUGCCUAUUGACUGCACUAAAUCUCCAGUGCCCAUUUUAACUCUACACUUCACAUUCUUAUCAACAUCAAUAAGCAAGGAUUCAUGGGAGGUCAUAUGAUUGCUACAUGCACUAUCUACAUACCAUAUAUUCAUACUUCUUCCAAUAGUAGCAGAAUGGCAGGCAUAAAACAUGGUUGCAUAUUCUAUUACCUGAUUCACAUAGUUUACAAGUUUUCCAGACUUGUUUGGUUGAUCACAAUCCUUGAUGAAAUGACCGAAACGAUUGCAUCCAUGACAUUUCGGCUUCCCUUUAAACCAGCACUCACCAUAGUGCAGUUUAUCACAAUGCUUGUAUUUUCCCUUAGACUGAUCAGAUUUUCCUCCUUGAUCAUAUUUGCCACCUCGAUUAGCAAGAUUCUGAGGUUUAGGAUCCCAUUUCUUUCCUUUUGAUUUCCAAUCCUUCUUUGGUUUAGAAUUACCAAACGAGAGAUUUGGUUGGGUUCCUUUUGAAUUCAGAUUCAGAGUACUGAAAGCUCUUUCAAUGGUACUCUCAGCAUGCCUAUCAAGGCGUUGUGCAAACCCUCUUAAUGCUGCAAUCACCUCUUGUACCUCAAUAGUUUCAAUAUCCUUGGUUUGUUCAAUUACAUAACAAACAGGAUCAAACUCCUUAGUUAAGCUUAUGAGCAAUUUCUGAACUAAUCGUUCUCUGGGUAAAUCUUCCCCAUAACCCUUCAUCUGAUUUACCAACUCGAGAAGACGAGUGAGAUACAUAGACAGAGUUUCAUCAUCCUUCAUCCUUGUGUACUCGAAAUCACGGCGUAGACCCUGCAACUUGAUGGAUCUCACUUGCUUAUCACCAUGAAAUUCCUGAUGUAGGAUAUCCCAAGCACCCUUUGAGGUCUCUUCGUUUGAGAUUCUGGGAAAGAUGUCAUCCGAGACAGCUCCUUGGAUUAUACCCAGUGCCUUAGCAUCCUUCAUUAGCUUGUCGCUCAGAGAAACUCUCUCUGACUCCGAUGAGCCUUCAUCUCCAAUCUUCUUAUCCUUCGAUUAUGAAAUUUCAAACCCCUUUUCAAACUAAAUCCCAGAUUCCAUGUGAUUUGAAAAUAGUUCUCAUUCGAAUCUUCCAAAAUUCAUAGUUGUCACCAUUGAAUAUUGGAGCCCGAAGAUCACUACCACCAGAUCCAGCCAUUUGAGACUUGAAUCGACAAAACUGAGUUGGAAAUUUCACGUUGGAUUUCCAAGCACAGCACUCACAGAUCUUACGCCCCGAUUCCAGAUAGAACCUGUGCUCUAGAUACCAUGUUAAGUUUUUAGUAAGCUGAUAUAUUCAGGAAUUGGAUUUUAAAGGAAGCUGAAAAGACAGAGAGGGUGAGAGGCAAGGUUUUUCACAACUGCAACUCUGUUACUAUGCAGAGAGCAACAUUUCAUUCAUAUACAUUCCUUUCUUUUACAUCAGACAUCAUAAUAUCCGUUCAAUUACACGAGUCAAUGUGAUUUUUGACACAUGGCAGAACAAAGCAUAUGAGCCAUUGAAAAAGAGUCUUGAUCUAAGACCAUACACUUGGCAUAUGAGCACAAGUUAUCACAUCAUAAAACAGCUACUCAAUAGAACAAAGAUAAAAUAGAUAAGUAAAUCAUUUACUAACUUGAAAUUAGUAAGCAAUUUACUUUUCAACAAUCACUAGCUAAGUCACCAAUCAAGGCAUAUGGAAUAUGACUAAUUUAAUUAAGAAGACCAUGUGAGUCCCACUUUGAUUGGUUGUUUAUUUUUCUAUCUUCUGAUAUGAUAUGUUUCUUGUCUUAGUAGAGUCAUGUUUUGAUCCAUCUCUCAUUUUUCUUAAUUAAAUUAUUAUCAAGUUUAUAUUAAUUGCGCCUAAACCACAUAUAUAUGAUAGUGCCUUAUGACUAUAUGAGAUACUAAUUAAUAUGAUUAGGUUUCUCUUUGGUGGUAGUGGUAUAAAAGCUUAUAUGAAUGAAUUCCCGUAACCUAAUACUGCUAAUCAUAUAAGUGGAGAAUAUAUAUAGUUGAUAUAUAUUUCAUGAACUAAUACAAGCAAAUGUAAUUAAUGCUAGUGACAUGUAUUAAUUGGCAAAAGUUUUUUACAUGCAUCAACUGUUAAGAGUUGUCAGAGAUUGCAAUAAGACAGAGCCUAAUAUUCUUCUCCAGCUAGAUAUAUUGUUUCUUAGCAUAAGAAUGUGAACAUGAUAUUCCACACAAAUAACGCCCCAUAUGAUAAGAGCAUCUUAGUAAAAUAGGCCAAUUUUUUAUGUCAUGUAGGCAAAAACAUGCUCAACUGGGUGUAGUUAAUUGGGUAGGCAAAUUUUACCCACUUCAACACUGCCCUACUUUCAACAUUAUAGGUAAAUUGGGUUUAACGUCUCUAUUUAUAGUAGAGUAUUUCAUGUGGACGAAGAAGAUAAAUUAAAAUAUAAAAGAUGAAAAAAAUAGUAAAUAAAAUUUUGUCUACUUAAUCUAUUACUUAUUUUAUUAGAGUAACACAUUUCAUAAAAUAAUUGUAAUACAUUUUUAUUUGAUUUGGCGUCAUUGGAAAGUGCGUGAAGGAUUUGAGCUUCUUCUCUACACUUCCAUGGGGCCAGGAAUACGUGCUGUAUAUUUUAUUACCGUCAUAUCAUCAAAAGAUCAAAAAAUAUAUAUGUGUUCUUACAAGUUUUACCAAAAGAAAUGGGAGUAGUGACGUCAGAUUUGUGUAGUUGCUUCUGCUCAAUGCGAUCUGCCAAAGUCGGAUGUACGUCAAACAACACAAUCUUCGCCUCUGAGUUGGGCCAAACUGCUUUUCUGCAACUGGAAGCUUCCUUUUUCGGCGUUUAGCUUUUACAAGUGGCAAAGUGUAGAAGCCAUUCCAGUUUUGACUAAAAAGUGGUUUUCAAUUUUACUAUUUUAGCGGGUUUCGGUUUUACGUUUACUUUGCGGCUUCUAGGGUUUCUUGCUUUUUACUGCCACAAGUGUAAUUGAUUAGGCUGUGUCGGAUUUUUACAGCUAACUAUGAUUAGGAGAAAGAUUAAGCGUAAAAAAAUGUUGUAAAUUUUGCCUUGUUUAUAACCCAGGAAAGAUUUGCUUUGCUUUUUUUAACAUGGAAUAUUGAUAUGUAUUUAAUUAACUACAUGAUAUUGAUACGUAUCCUUUUUAACUUAUCUCUACGCUUUGGUAUAAAUUGAACCAAUCAGAGGAGAAUGAAAACAUGAAAAUUGAUACCUUUUUUUUCAUUUUUGCCUUUAAUCAUGUUUUCGGCUUUUGCUUAUUAUAGUAUGUGGAUUCUAUGUCCAAUCCCACCCAAAAGAAUAGUAAUUGUGCUGCAUAAAUUGGCAUAUAGCGAAGCCCAAUCCAGUACAUACUAAUAAUUGGGUUCUAGCCCAAGCCUUGAAAAACAAUUUCAGGGGAGGAGUUAUAAGCAUAUACUAAUGUGAGAGACCAAGGAAUUAACAUUUGUUAUUCAUCAGUUCAAAUAUGUAUGAGAUGGAUAACCAUAUGAGUAUGUACAUCUAUCUACAUCUAUCACAAAAAUUGAUCGCAUAUCGUAUUGCAGAUGAGUUCUGCCUCCAUUACAGAUGUGGUUUUUUAUGUUCUCACCGCCGAACAAGUAGUUUGUGUUUGGGUUAAAACUUAAACUUUGGGCUUAAAAGGGAGUUGGCCCAAAAGGAGGAGAGAAGCCCGAAGCCUAGCCGAAUCCCAGGAGGCCGAAGAGGCCCUUUUCUGACUAGGUGCAGACCAUGUGAACCACUUGCUCACCUACCCAAAGACCAAAUGGUAUAGACCAGCCAGCUAAUCAGCCCAAAAGUACUUUACAAUGACAGUACAAGUAAAUAGCUGAUGAGUCACUACCCUUCAAGAUGCAUUCGGGCAGGAUUACUGCUACAGGAGGCCAAGCCGAAGUGUCUAUAAAAGAAGAAAGAGAAAUCAGAGUUAAGGACACUCAAUCAAACAAACAAAUACAAGCACAAACUCUGCUCAAAACCCUUUGUGAUAGCUCUGCUACCUUGUCCUAAGCUUGCUGUAGUAUCGAUUUCUUUCUGUAAACUCAUCUCCCUACCCCCAUUUCUAAAAGCUCAAACCCCUUGAUAAACCACAAAGAUAGGAAAUUGCAAGACGAUUAGCCUUACCCGACAAGGUUAAACCUUGCCUGAACCUCUUUGUUUUUGUCUUGUCAUUCAUUAGCCUAGCAAUAUGUUGUAUACUUCCAGUUGUAUUCAAGUUAUUUCUCGUAAGAUGACUAUUAAAAGACUCUCUCAGUGCUGGAAUCCAAUUUGAAUAUGUCUUCACAGUUCAAACCAGAUCUAAGUUCUAAGCUCUCGGGCAUGUAAAAUUGAUCAUUUAAAAGUCCUUGGUCUCAAGGCAGAAAAAAAACCUUAUGUGGACUUAACCCAUCCACGACAAGCUUUGAUAACAAGAAGUCCGAAGUUACUUGGGGUGCAAGUAAUCGAUUUAUUUCUUAGUUUUAUUUCUAUUACAUUAUGAUUAUAGUAGAACGUUUGAGUAUAGAAGGAAUUCUGAUGGGAAGCCUCAAGGCCUAUAUCUGAGGCCAUACAAAGGCAUCUAUUUGUAUUCAUUCUGCUCUACGGGUUCAGAUAAUCAGAAGUAUAAUGGUUAUAACACUUCUGCAAACAAUAAAACAGGCAUCGUAUAUUCGAGUACUGGGUUAGUUCUUGAUCGGAAGCCUCAAGGCCUACAUCUAAGGCCCCACAAAGGCACCCGUCAUAACUAACACGGUCGCUCGGGUAUAUGUGCAACUAAAAUUCAACAUCCAUUUUACAUCGGCCAUGCUAAAGAUAGCAGUGGCACGCCUGAGCACUUAAAAGUUAAUCUUGAUUGUGAGCCUUAAGGCCUACACCUAAGGCCCCACAANNNNNNNNNNNNNNNNNNNNNNNNNNNNNNNNNNNNNNNNNNNNNNNNNNNNNNNNNNNNNNNNNNNNNNNNNNNNNNNNNNNNNNNNNNNNNNNNNNNNNNNNNNNNNNNNNNNNNNNNNNNNNNNNNNNNNNNNNNNNNNNNNNNNNNNNNNNNNNNNNNNNNNNNNNNNNNNNNNNNNNNNNNNNNNNNNNNNNNNNNNNNNNNNNNNNNNNNNNNNNNNNNNNNNNNNNNNNNNNNNNNNNNNNNNNNNNNNNNNNNNNNNNNNNNNNNNNNNNNNNNNNNNNNNNNNNNNNNNNNNNNNNNNNNNNNNNNNNNNNNNNNNNNNNNNNNNNNNNNNNNNNNNNNNNNNNNNNNNNNNNNNNNNNNNNNNNNNNNNNNNNNNNNNNNNNNNNNNNNNNNNNNNNNNNNNNNNNNNNNNNNNNNNNNNNNNNNNNNNNNNNNNNNNNNNNNNNNNNNNNNNNNNNNNNNNNNNNNNNNNNNNNNNNNNNNNNNNNNNNUGGAAGAGGUGAAUGUCGGUUAACCUUACGCCCAUUUUAUGGAGAGGCUGCUCCCAAGUCUCGAACCCGAGACCUACCGCUCAUGAACCAGAAAUAGUAUGCAUAUCAUUAUUUAAUCGAGUCUUGGUAAACCUGAAGUCAUUUGGAAAAACAUAUUGCAAACCUAUUAAUGCCCCAUUUACGUGAGUAACUAACAUGUUCCAAAGCUACUUCCAUAUGAAUGCUUAACAAAAAAACAAACUUAUCUUGAACGCACUAAAAAUGUUUGAUAUCAUUGCAUCUCAUUAAUAUGGUUGUCCAAGAAUGAUAAUGUUUUGUUAUUUAUUGAGAUCACCAUUUCAUUCACUCUUCAUUCACAUUCUAUCAAACAAUUGGAAGACAUGGAUGGAACCAACUCUAAUCUUAAAAAUAGCAACAUCAAGGUAUCCAUGAAUAUACACUAAAGCUCGGAAGAUCGACACUCAAAGUAUCCAUAAACGUUCACCGAAGUUCGAAGGGUUAGCUGACCCCCUACCCCUCAAUGCAUCCGCCACUACUGUCAACCAAGUCGGAAACGAAGAUGUCAUUAAAUCUGUGCCACCACUUGCUGCAUCCAAUGGUUUCCAACUAGAAACUCCCUUCCCGGAAUGGCACCGCCGUGGUGUCCUCAGUGUCAGUGGCAUCCUUAAAUCUUGACAAAAAUGUUGAGAUAUUGGUAUCUCAACAUUGCUCUGUUUUCUAGGUCCGGCGACCAAUCAGAGGCGCCUAACGGAACCGGCAUAGGCUCGAACAGAACCUCAAAGAGGCAGAGAAAUUAUGCAGUACCUCAUCUCAAUCUGUUUAAACUUUAAAAUGCUGACACACGGAACAAAGUAUAUGGUGUAAUUCCAAACACACUCAUAUUACGAACUCUGUUUGAUUACGUUCGUAAAAUGCUCGGUUAUUCGAGUUAUUUGUUCCGUUGAUUCGCGUUUUUGAAGCCAAUUUUAUGAUAACAUAAACAAAAAUGGAAAUAAAACACAUAAUAUGCUUCAUUGAUCUGAAAAACCAACAAGCUUAUAAUACCACAACACAAACAUAACAAACACAUCCAGAAUACACCAACGAAGCCCUAAAAUCCACACACAAACCCUUAUGUUAUAAUCCCUGCACGAUUAUUCUCAUAACCCAAAUCACAGAAACAGUUUCAAGCAAUCUUGACCUCGAUUGUCUUCGGCUUCUUCGGCUCCGGCGGCGGCAGCUUCUGCACUGUGACAGUCAAAAACCCCAUCCUGGCAAACAGCAGAAAUCGCAUCCACAUUAGCAUUCUCCGGCAACACAAACUUCCUCAUGAACUUGCCGACCCUCCGCUCCAUCCUCACGUACUUAGCCCCUUCCUUCUCCUCCUCCCGCUUCCUCUCGCCGCUGAUCAGAAGCACAUUGUCGUCCUCCACCUGGACCUUGAUGUCCCCGGACUUCAGUCCCGGCAUGUCCACCACGAACACGUAGGAGGUCGGGUACUCCUUGACGUCUGCCGGCGUGGAGGCCAUGGCCUUGGCGUCGCGGAAGUAGGUCCGGGUGGGGGCGUUGAAGGAUUUCUCGGCGUCGUCGGCGGCGUCGAUGAUGUGCUGAAGUGUGGAGAAGAGCGGGGCAUCCAAACCCUGGAUUCUGACAUCCAUUCUUCC